UUUUAACACGAAGUGAGUGGCGAACGGGUGAGUAACACGUGGGUAACCUGCCCAGAAGUAGGGGAUAACACCUGGAAACAGAUGCUAAUACCGUAUAACAGAGAAAACCGCAUGGUUUUCUUUUAAAAGAUGGCUCUGCUAUCACUUCUGGAUGGACCCGCGGCGUAUUAGCUAGUUGGUGAGGUAAAGGCUCACCAAGGCAGUGAUACGUAGCCGACCUGAGAGGGUAAUCGGCCACAUUGGGACUGAGACACGGCCCAGACUCCUACGGGAGGCAGCAGUAGGGAAUCUUCCACAAUGGACGCAAGUCUGAUGGAGCAACGCCGCGUGAGUGAAGAAGGGUUUCGGCUCGUAAAGCUCUGUUGUUAAAGAAGAACGUGGGUAAGAGUAACUGUUUACCCAGUGACGGUAUUUAACCAGAAAGCCACGGCUAACUACGUGCCAGCAGCCGCGGUAAUACGUAGGUGGCAAGCGUUAUCCGGAUUUAUUGGGCGUAAAGCGAGCGCAGCGGUCUUUUAAGUCUAAUGUGAAAGCCUUCGGCUCAACCGAAGAAGUGCAUUGGAAACUGGGAGACU
rnacentral:rRNA from 1 species